CAGUAGCCACGGGAAUACGAGGGGGGCAAGCGUCGUUCGGAUUUAUUGGGCGUAAAGGGCUCGCAGGCGGUUUCUUAAGUCUGAUGUGAAAGCCCCCGGCUCAACCGGGGAGGGUCAUUGGAAACUGGGAAACUUGAGUGCAGAAGAGGAGAGUGGAAUUCCACGUGUAGCGGUGAAAUGCGUAGAGAUGUGGAGGAACACCAGUGGCGAAGGCGACUCUCUGGUCUGUAACUGACGCUGAGGAGCGAAAGCGUGGGGAGCGAACAGGAUUAGAGACCCCUGUAGUCCCUGUCUCUUAUAC
rnacentral:rRNA from 1 species